AUGGGUGAAUGAGUUGAAAAAGAGCAAAGAAAAGAAAGAAGCGUGCUUCCAUUCCAUUUCAUUACCUUCUUUCUUGUUCUUUGCCUUUUUCUCUCAUUCAUUCCUUUCCCUUCCCUCGUUCUUUGUUUAAAUUGAAAGGGUAAGGAAUGAGCCGUGUGAAUGACGCACGCCUUUCAAUGAAACAAAGAAACGAGGGAAGUGAAAGGACUGGAUUGGUGAUUUCCUGUGUGUUCUCUUCUUUCUUCUUUCCAUUUGGCUUAAUUCGUGCUUCCUUCGUCCAUUACAAUUAAGCCAAAAGGAAAGAGAAAGAAAG
rnacentral:ribozyme from 1 species